ncrna:unclassified sequences nadA RNA
GGCUUCAACAACCCCGUAGGUGGGGCGUGAAACUGCGCAGCGCACCUACUGCAGCC